UCCGCAAUGGACGAAAGUCUGACGGAGCGACGCCGCGUGCGGGAUGAAGGCCCUUGGGUUGUAAACCGCUGUCAGAGGGGAUGAAAUCUUCGGAGGUACUCCUCCGAAGUUGACAGAGCCUCAAAGGAAGCACGGGCUAAGUACGUGCCAGCAGCCGCGGUAACACGUACUGUGCGAACGUUAUUCGGAAUCACUGGGCUUAAAGGGUGCGUAGGCGGCGAUUCAAGUCAGAUGUGAAAUGCCUGAGCCCAACUGAGGCAUUGCGUUUGAAACUGAUUUGCUAGAGUGUCCUAGGGGUGUGCGGAACUGCCAGUGGAACGGUGAAAUGUGUUGAUAUUGGCAGGAACACCGGAGGCGAAGGCGGCACACUGGGGGAUAACUGACGCUGAGGCACGAAAGCCAAGGGAGCGAACGGGAUUAGAUACCCCGGUAGUCUUGGCCGUAAACGAUGAGUACUGGGCGGGAGGGGGUUUCCCCUUUCUGCCGUAGCGAAAGCGUUAAGUACUCCGCCUGGGGAGUAUGGUCGCAAGGCUGAAACUCAAAGGA
rnacentral:rRNA from 1 species